rnacentral:rRNA from 1 species
GUCGAGAAUAAUUCACAAUGGACGAAAGUCUGAUGGUGCAACGCCGCGUGGAGGAUGACGGUCUUCGGAUUGUAAACUCCUGUCAUCCGGGAGUAAGACCUGGCUGUGAAUAGCAGACAGGGUUGAUAGUACCGGAAGAGGAAGGGACGGCUAACUUCGUGCCAGCAGCCGCGGUAAUACGAAGGUCCCGAGCGUGGUUCGGAAUCACUGGGCGUAAAGGGAGCGUAGGCGGCGUGGUAAGUCAGAUGUGAAAUCCCGGGGCUCAACCCCGGAACUGCAUCCGAUACUGCCGUGCUAGAGUAUUGGAGAGGUAGCUGGAAUUCUUGGUGUAGCAGUGAAAUGCGUGGAGAUCAAGAGGAACACUCGUGGCGAAAGCGAGCUACUGGACAAUAUCUGACGCUGAGGCUCGAAGGCCAGGGUAGCGAAAGGGAUUAGAAACCCCUGUAGUCC